GGGCUUUUCGAUGUAUCUAGCUGUUGGAAGCACUUCAGUGGCUAAGCGAAGUGAUAAGUAUCCCACCUGGGGAGUACGGGCGCAAGCCUGAAACUCAAAGGAAUUGACGGGGGCCCGCACAAGCGGUGGAGCAUGUGGUUUAAUUCGAUGAUACGCGAGGAACCUUACCAAGGCUUAAAUGUAGAUUGACCGGUUUGGAAACAGACCUUUCGCAAGACAAUUUACAAGGUGCUGCAUGGUUGUCGUCAGCUCGUGCCGUGAGGUGUCAGGUUAAGUCCUAUAACGAGCGCAACCCCUGUUGUUAGUUGCCAGCGAGUAAUGUCGGGAACUCUAGCAAGACUGCCGGUGCAAACCGUGAGGAAGGUGGGGGAUGACGUA
rnacentral:rRNA from 1 species